UUCGUUUUUGAACUAAUACUCACACCUAUCGUCACGUUUGGAAGGGUGCCGGUGUAACCUGACCUCGAAAGAGGAGGGUUGUUACUGGUUUCCAGGCGGGAUAGGUGGAGGCGUAAC
rnacentral:sRNA from 1 species